AGCAUGAGAGAGAAACGAAAUUAAAAAGUGGUAAGGAUUACAUUUUAAAAAAUCGGAGGGGGGUUGUUUUUCUCCUUGAAUAACAACAGAAACCGAAAGCGGACACAUUACAAGAAAACCAACACAAGCCAGACCACAUUUCAAAUGACAUGAACGCCUACACAACACAACAAAUCCGCUGCCAUGUAACUGUUGGAGGAAGGGGACGCAAACUUCGGACCGUUGUGUUUAUUUAUUUAUUUAUUUAUUUUUACGAGGACUUCACUUCAUUAAAACCUUUCUUUUUCUUCUCAAGCUGUCAGACUGACACCAUACCAGCAAGCCAUCUCUGAAAACACGGGGAAGCAGUAGCUUUCCAAUCCCUCGAUAUGGCGACAUCUAGCAAAACUCUAGUCACAAGAUCUCAACCUCGCGUCUGCCUGAUCUACAGCGCUAAACGAAGCGUGAAAACAUCCAGGCGGUCUUGGUGGACUGAAAUCUGUACAAAACAAAAUAACACCACUAAAGGACCACGCGCUCCCAUCGGCGUCAUCCACUAACAAAGGGGAAGUGAAACUUAUUACGGUGUCACCCAAUCAGAGGGGAGCAACUGCUUGAGGCAACAUGGGAAAGACAUGUAUAACACAAGCAAAGGCACAAAAAUCACUUAUAAGUAAAGAGAAAAGGAAGAGACUGUGGUGG